rnacentral:rRNA from 1 species
AUUGAACGCUGGCGGCAGGCCUAACAUAUGCAAGUCGAGCGGCAGCGGGAAGGUAGCUUGCUACUUUUGCCGGCGAGCGGCGGACGGGUGAGUAAUGCCUGGGGAUCUGCCCAGUCGAGGGGGAUAACUACUGGAAACGGUAGCUAAUACCGCAUACGCCCUACGGGGGAAAGCAGGGGACCUUCGGGCCUUGCGCGAUUGGAUGAGCCCAGGUGGGAUUAGCUAGUUGGUGAGGUAAUGGCUCACCAAGGCGACGAUCCCUAGCUGGUCUGAGAGGAUGAUCAGCCACACUGGAACUGAGACACGGUCCAGACUCCUACGGGAGGCAGCAGUGGGGAAUAUUGCACAGUGGGGGAAACCCUGAUGCAGCCAUGCCGCGUGUGUGAAGAAGGCCUUCGGGUUGUAAAGCACUUUCAGCGAGGAGGAAAGGUUGGUAGCUAAUAACUGCCAGCUGUGACGUUACUCGCAGAAGAAGCACCGGCUAACUCCGUGCCAGCAGCCGCCGUAAGAC